rnacentral:misc_RNA from 1 species
AAACUGAAACAGAACAAAGAGGUUAGCUUUCUGAUUAUCUUGCUACUGUGGCCUUUGCUUCUUAUGGGUGCAGUACUCAGUAUAAAUUAAUUUGAUUGAAUGCUGAAGUCAACUGAAUGAUAGGCCUUUUCUAAAAUGAAAAAAACUGCCCAAUUGCAUUAAUGUGAGUUAAACGUGGCACUAGGAGAGUUUUUGUCAAAAUGCAGGUUCUAAGCUCUGUGCACUGUGCUGCAGUGCUCGAGAUGUCUCUGGAGUCCCUGGUUCAGUAAAAGUUUCUUGGAUAUUUUCAAUCCUUUUCUCUUUUGUAUGCACUCCUGUACUAGUGCAUGUGUGCUGUGCGUGUAUCCAUUUCUGGCUGGCUUUGGAAAACCUUGACAGAUGCUGCCUUCACUCCUGUUAUAUUAGCAAAUUAGGUCACUCACUCUCUUCUCUUCCCUUGCUUGGUGCCUGCUUCAGGAGAUUGACCACAACUGAUUCUGUAUUUAAGGCAAUCCUGGUGCUGUUGUACCCCACAUUGUAAUUAUUCUUCUUUUCAAUACAACUCAACUAAGCCUUGAUCAAACUAGUGGAUGCAAGUUAAGCUCAAGUCUUAUCAAUACCGCAUUAAAAAUGUAGAUUUAGGAAAUAUAUGCAAACUUUCAUGUGGCUUUUUUUCACAUGUCUUGGAUAUAUUGCUAUAAUAAGAGCACAAUGGCUAUCAGAGAUGGACAGGUAAAUGCAUGAAUAAAUACUUCCAUUCUGGCUUUAGGAGAUAGGAUGUUCAGUUACGUGGGGGGCUAGACAAUUCAUUCGCUUGACAUGCGCCUGUGUCCAUGUAAUCAUGCUUAUCUUACAGAUAAAAUGUUUGAUCAUUUGACUGGUCUUUAAAAUUUUGCUUGAUAACUAUAGUGGUUGCAUAAUUGGUUCCCUUUUAUUGAUUGAUCGUUUUUCAUAAGGAGCUUUGUAUUCUUCAAGGUACAAUAGCCAAGGCAUAGCAUGCGGUAGACUUUAUGAAUGGAAAGACAUGUUCUCUGUUCUCUUUCUAUUUCGCCCCUUACAGCAUGUUCAUGUCUUUUUUUAGUUUGUGUACGGAAUUUUAAUAUUGAAAUAAAUCUAAUACUGAGUAUUUGCUUAAUUUUAGUGUUGAAAUAGAUUACACUGUUAAAUAUUGGUUUACUUUUCAUCAACUAUUUAACAAUCUACCAAUAAAUCAUAACAAUAAUUGUAAUAAUAUAAUUUUAUGGUUAAUGCAUAGCAAAAAAGAGACGAGGUUAAUGUGAUUAAUGCAGGUUGAACAAAAGCUGAAGCAUG